rnacentral:rRNA from 1 species
CGUAGAAGACUAGUGUUAUUCAUCUUUAAUAGGUUUAAAGGGUACCUAGACGGUAUAAUUAGUCUUUAACAGGAAACGGUUAUACUAGAGUUAUAUAUGAGGAGGUGAGUAUUUGUGGAGUAGAGUUGAAAUUCUUUGAUACCAUGACGACUGGUAAAGGCGAAAGCAACCUUUUAUCUAAUAACUGACGUUGAGGGACGAAGGCUCGGGUCGCGAACAGGAUU